UACGAAGGGGGCUAGCGUUGUUCGGAAUUACUGGGCGUAAAGCGCGCGUAGGCGGACAUUUAAGUCAGGGGUGAAAUCCUGGAGCUCAACUCCAGAACUGCCUUUGAUACUGGGAAGCUUGAGUCCGGGAGAGGUGAGUGGAACUCCGAGUGUAGAGGUGAAAUUCGUAGAUAUUCGGAAGAACACCAGUGGCGAAGGCGGCUCACUGGCCCGGUACUGACGCUGAGGUGCGAAAGCGUGGGGAGCAAACAGG
rnacentral:rRNA from 1 species